AACUCGGAAGGGAACUAAACAAAGCCGAAUUUGUCCGUCUAGGGAAAAAAAAAAAAAAAAAGGUCUGUAUGACCUCUUUCUCCAAUGGCCUAACCGCCUAAAAGCGGCCUAAACGGAAGGGUAGAAUGCUGAGCGCCAUUAAAAUCAAGUGCCCACACCAUCUACUCCUCCCCAAAUUCAAAUACAAAUCAUUCACAACUUCAUCCCUUCAUAAUGAAUGGUCAGGUCUCCAACAAUGGAGAGAGAGUUCAAUAAACCAGAACCGGGUCUGGGGACCGACUGGCCCAGAACCUCCAUUGAAGCCUGACCAUGUCGAAAUCCCAAGUGGGUCAGCUUCAUCAUUAGCUGAGCUUGGUGCUUUGGUUCUCUCCACAAGUGACCCCCUCGCUAAAUCCCAGCUUUCCCACUUUGCUUACUCUAAAUGGCGUUCGGAGAAGCUCCCAAUUGGGGUUUUCGAGCCGCCUACCCGCCCCGCCCGCCCAUUCAUAUGCUCCUUUUACAAACUGAAGGUACCUCCGAAGGAUAUUCCAACGCCUAAGGACUCUGGCUUGCCUCUGAAUGCGUAUAUGCUUCAUAACCUAGCUCAUGUAGAGCUAAACGCUAUCGACUUGGCUUGGGAUACUGUUGUCCGUUUUUCUCCUUACCAGGAGAUCCUUGGAGAGGGGUUCUUUGCUGAUUUUGCUCAUGUUGCUGAUGAUGAAAGUCGACAUUUUGCUUGGUGUUCACAGAGAUUAUCAGAGCUUGGCUUCCGCUACGGGGACAUGCCUGCUCAUAAUCUGCUAUGGAGGGAGUGUUUGAAGUCACGUGACAAUGUAGCUGCACGUUUGGCUGCAAUCCCGCUUGUCCAGGAGGCCAGGGGGCUGGAUGCAGGACCACGACUUGUGAAGAAGUUGAUUGGCUUUGGAGAUAAACAGACUUCAAGAAUAGUAGCUCGAAUUGCUCAUGAAGAAGUUGCGCAUGUUGCUGUUGGAGUUUACUGGUUCUUCUCAGUUUGUCAAAAGCUGGGGCAAGUCCCUUGCUCCACUUUCAAAGACCUGUUAAAGGAGUAUGAUAUAGAGGUAAAAGGCCCCUUCAAUUAUUCAGCUCGGGAUGAGGCUGGCCUGCCCCGCCAUUGGUAUGAUGCAUCAUCAUCGACUGACAAUCAAAGCAAAGAGCAGCUAUCUGAGGUAUAUGAAAGGCUUGCUCACAUCAUUGCAAUGGAGAACGAAAAUGCCAGUUCAAGCAGCCAUCCUAGGUGAUUGUAGAAGAAAAGGUUACAAGUUUUACGCUAACUUGUGAAGUGUGAACUGCCGUUCGUGUAAUUUUAUUGACAGCAUAUGACACCUAACUUUUAACAACCAGGUUGGGGCUUGCCGAAAAUGCGUGCCAAGACUGCUCAUAGUCUUACAAGGAUUACAGGAUGUUUUCUUGCAAAAUGGUUCUGGUUGGAUAUAGGUAUAGCUGACGUCCCUUAAAAGCGGGGGAAUGAAAAUAAUUUAUUGGGCUGUUCUUGGGUAUGUAAAUGUAAUUUAGGGUGUGAGAAAAAUGGGAUCGGAAACAACCAUUCAGUCUCCUGGUAGAAAAAUAUUAUUCUCCGGUUCAGUCCAAAACUCUUUAAAAACCAGUUUUGGAUUAUACCAGUUUUCCUUGAAGAAUAUGAAUACAAGCCACUUAAAAAGUUUGGUUGUCCAAAUCAUUUCUUGUACUUCGUCAUCCAAUAGAAGUUCAACGAGGCGCUUCAAGCUUGUAAGAAAUGUGACACUCUAGUAACAUUAAGAUUGGGAAAAGACUACAAGUAUACUAGGUGUACAAAGCAUAUUGUACACCAUUAAUAGUGUUUUGACACAUCACUAAUUUCACUCAUAA